UAAUACCUUCGCUGAUAGUUCUUGAGUACUUAAUGCCAGACUCAGUGCUUUAUGCCCAUUAUCACAUUUACUCCCCAGGAGAAGGCCCUCACAGUGUUCACCUAGUCAUGUUUUCACAAAAUUGGCAGAAAAUAUUUUAAUCGCCAUUAAGAUCUCUUUCCACUUAAACUCCCCUUCAUUUAGGGUGAUGCUAGUGACCACGAGCUAACUGAAAGGCUAGAAGAUGAGCACCAGAGCAAGCACUUUUGGACCCAGAAACGGAAGCUACCUUUUGAGUAUGGCAGAACUGCUUACCUCUGGACUGCUACCUGAAAGAAAAGUAAAGCUGUUUUACUUAGUCGAAUGUAUUUUUAGGGGUCUUUGUUAAUAGUACUUUAUAAUCUUAAGCCUACUAUGCUCAGUAAAUAACUUAAGAUGAACACUAGAAACAUAAAAUAGAACAUGUGCUG